rnacentral:rRNA from 1 species
AACGAACGCUGGCGGCAUGCCUAACACAUGCAAGUCGAACGAGACCUUCGGGUCUAGUGGCGCACGGGUGCGUAACGCGUGGGAACCUGCCCUUAGGUUCGGAAUAACUCCCCGAAAGGGGUGCUAAUACCGGAUAAUGUCUUCGGACCAAAGAUUUAUCGCCUUUGGAUGGGCCCGCGUUGGAUUAGCUAGUUGGUAGGGUAAAAGCCUACCAAGGCGACGAUCCAUAGCUGGUCUGAGAGGAUGAUCAGCCUCACUGGGACUGAGACACGGCCCAGACUCCUACGGGAAGCAGCAGUGGGGAAUAUUGGACAAUGGGCGAAAGCCUGAUCCAGCGAUGCCGCGUGAGUGAUGAAGGCCUUAGGGUUGUAAAGCUCUUUUACCCGGGAUGAUAAUGACAGUACCGGGAGAAUAAGCUCCGGCUAACUCCGUG